CAAAGAUAUGAGCCACAAAUUUCACUAGCACUCGUCAACCCACUCUUUUUAAAAUCAGACAAGUUCACUGUCUGAUGAUACUACCUUUCUUGAAAAGUAUUUGGUUAUCAUAUUUUUCUCAAUAGGUUACACUCUGCUGAAGUUUGUUGGGACAAUUGAAAAUAAACUCAAGAAAUAAUCUAGUGAACAAACUAGAAAUGAUGAAGAUAUGGAUGCUUUGGAAUACAAGACCGUCCAACGUGAUACGGAGCAACAUGAGAAUGAAGGCGAAGACACUUGAGCUUAUAAGCUACUACCACCAUUAGAUCCUAGUUCUUCGGUUAAGUAGAUAAAAUUUGUAUUUUUUAUUAUGUUUUGGACUAUUUAGUUAUCAACAUUUAUGUAUUAUGGAAUUUGGUUAGAAACAUUAUCAUGUACUAUGGAUAUAUUAUGGUUAUAUUACCAUGUGCAAUGGAUUUAAAGUACUACGUAC